rnacentral:rRNA from 1 species
UACGUAGGGUGCAAGCGUUGUCCGGAAUUAUUGGGCGUAAAGAGCUCGUAGGCGGUCUGUCGCGUCGGCUGUGAAAACUCGGGGCUCAACUCCGAGCUUGCAGUCGAUACGGGCAGACUAGAGUGUGGCAGGGGAGACUGGAAUUCCUGGUGUAGCGGUGAAAUGCGCAGAUAUCAGGAGGAACACCGGUGGCGAAGGCGGGUCUCUGGGCCAAUACUGACGCUGAGGAGCGAAAGCGUGGGGAGCGAACAGG